UGAGUAUAGCUCAGUGGUAGAGUACAUAUUUAGCAUGUGUGAGGCCCUGGGUUCAAUCCCCAGCACCAA
rnacentral:tRNA from 1 species